GGAUUGACGAUGACGUUGUCGAAACUGUUAAGCAUUUUUAACUGAGUUUUCUUCAGA
rnacentral:snoRNA from 1 species